rnacentral:lncRNA from 1 species
GUAUUAGCUUUUACCAUUAUGCUCUAUUUCCUACAGAAGUAUGUCACACUAUUUAAGAAACAGUCUUCUACUGCUAGUGAUAAGCUACUACCGCAAAAUCCAUGCAGAGCUGUACUGAAUUUUGUUGGUACCUGCCCAUUCUUUAAAACAGUCCUUUAAAGAACCACAAUAUAUUAAAAAAGAGAAACGUACAUCUUCUGGGUACGUUACAAUGACACUGCCUAUGACAUGGGUCUGCCAUCUUGAAAGGGUGGGCAGUUGGACUCAAAGAAAUAAUGAAUUUUCUUUCGCUUAUGUUAGGGCUUCUAUUCAGCUUGUUUGGAUAUUGUUGAGUUGUUAAUACUUGGGAAUACUUUAGAUCAGCAGAUAGAUGCUGCUUUGAGCUCCACAAAUUGGUGGCACCUGAAAGCCCAGUUCCUCCCUUAGGACCUUAUUCUGGUCCUUGACCUAAAAACCUUGCAUGACACAGCAGGGGACUCCAGGACCCUCUGCUUUUGUCAGGGUUCGUUCCAAUUGGGUAAUUCCUUCACUGGUCUAGUUGUUAAAGAUUUUGUUCUUCGUUCCUGCACCCUAUCACUCCUAGGCUCAAUCAUCACAAUCACUUGGCAAGAGAUCCAGUGACUCAGUGAUGGAUGGGAUGGUAGUGAAAGAGGUUUAUCUCAGCUGUGGUCCAGCUACCACCAAGGGGAAUAAUCUUGACAAGAAUCCGAUUAAUACAAACUGUAGUUCUUCUGUCCUCUGCAGCAGCCCAAAGGAGAAGGAGAGGUUUUUCUCUGAACUCAAGGCUCAGGUUUUUCAGACAAAUGAUCGAAUAGUUACGUUGAUGAUUGCCUUGAAUAAUAGAUGUGUCCUUUAGUCAACAGAUGUUCCCUGCCGUUGCUAAAUAUAAAUUGUGUAUUUUUGGUGUGUUUUUCUUUGUAUCAAAUAUAUAGAUGACAAAGUUCCCAUCCUCCUGGAUCUUAUAAAUCACAUUUUUUAAUGGAAAACUCAGGAAGACAGAUUUUAUUUCACAUAAUAAUUUUCAGUGAAAAGAAGGACAGCCCGGCUAUAGGGGGAGAAAAAGAAUGCCUUGGAACAGAAAAUUUUUAUGUUUGCGAUCUAUGGAAAACUGUCAGAAAAUGAGGUCUUAUCUUGCUUGACAACAAUCAUUGCCUGGUGAAUAAUUCCUUUUGAGGAAUUUAAGACUUCUGCCUUUGCCCCUGAAAUGACUGUAUAAUCUGGAAGAGCCAUUGUGUGAACCAAACAUUUUAGAAAGCAGAAGUGUUAUAACUCCUCCCAUCAAAAAGUUAAUAAUCUGUGGCAUUCCAAAAUCACAACAGAAAUGUUAUGUAGUUUCUCCCAAUAAUAAAGAGACCCUUUAUGGUCUUUGGAAUAAAAAAAAAAAGCCCAGCUCUCAAAGAGUUCAGGUCAGUUGAAUUCCAUUUGAGAGUCUUUUUCCACUGUCCUUCUUCCAUCAGACAGAUCUAAAUAUAUCUCAAGUUAAAGCUGGACGAUUCAAAUGUUUUCUAAAGGAAAAUGCUCUAUGAUUCACGUGUAGACUGAGCUUUCUAAUCCUCCAUUAUGGUUGGAGAUUUCCUGAAUCAAAAUUACUUCCAUCAUAUAGAACAUUUUAUUGAUAUAUCUGAUUAUAAUAUGCUGUUUACUCUUUUCAUUAUAAAAGUCUAAAAUGGGUUUGAUGUUGCCAUGAGGACGAUAAAAAAAAAAAAUCAUGCAUGAUUAGAGGAGGGUCACGUUUUUAUUGCUUGCGGUAGUUAGGGACCAUUUGGAAUCUGCCCAGCUGCUUUUUGUCUUGUGAAAAUCAAAGGCUGCUCUUGUGUUAAUCCUUCCUAGCCUGUUUUGCUUUCUGUUUUUAGGGCUUGUUCAAUAUUUCUAGUUUAUUCAACUGUGGUGGUGUAUUACAAAUUACCUCAAAGUUUAAAAAGUGCUUGGGAUGCGUGCAUAUUUUUUCAUAAAUCUUGCUUUUAAACAUAAUUCACUUAUCUUUAUAAAAUCCCCGAUGUGUCCAUUUAAGAGCCUUAUUUUGUUAAAAAGCCAGUUUCACCAUUCUGAACACUAGAUUCUUGGUCCCUAAAAUUCGCCUUGAUUGAGGUUGGUGAUUAGCUAUUAACUCCUCAAGCCUUCGGUCCACUGUGUUGAGUAUCAUCACCUGAUAAUGUCCCUUAGUACUCAUGCAACUCCAAGUGCCUAAGUGGGUCUCCUGGAGGGUAAGACUGGAGGAGGCUCUUUUCCUCUGUUACAUUUCUCACCAAGCCACACUUUGAUGAACAGAACAAAGGCCCUCCACCCAUAUCUAUGUUUUCAUCCCUAGCAUCAAUGAAUAUGUUAGGAUGCAGGUGAAAGGUGGUAAGGCUGCAGGUGGAAUUAAUAUUGCUAAUUAGCGGACCUUGUAAUGGGACGUGCAGCGCGGAGCCUCCAGGUGGAGCCAGGGUAAUCCCAAAGGUCUUUAUAUACUGAAAGCGGAAGGCGGAGAGAGAACCAGAGACGUAGUGAUGCGGUCGAGGUGAGACUGGCUCUUGCUGGUUUUGAAGAUGGAUGGAGAAAGUCAAGGCAACGGAUUCUCCUCCAGAGCCUCCGCAAGGAAGGGAGGAAGCCCCCUCUACAUCUUCAUCUCUCCGAAAACCAGUGAGUCCCACUGUGGGUUUCUGUUUAAAACGAUGCAGUUCUACAUUCGUAUUGUUUCAAUUUGUUGCUUUUUAAACCCUAAAGGAUUUAUUUAACUGAGUGAUAAGGUGUUAUUUUAGUAGAAAUGAUUAUAUCCACGUGAAAAACAGGGAGAUAGGAGUCUAACAAGUUGAAUUAAAAAGAAAAAGUUUUGGGAAGGCACAGUGUGACUUAAAUAUAUCUAACAAAUCUUUUUCUAUGAAGGUUUGGAAUAUUUUUUUUUCAAGCUCUUUUUGCAGUUUGAACAAGUUUACUCCCAUUAAAAGCCCCCUUUUAAAAAAAUUUGAGAGAAUGUAAUUACUGGAAUGAUUUAAUGGAAUAAUGAAGGCAAUUUUUAAUAUAUCAACAUUUGCUCUUUGGCAAAGGAAUUGGGGGGGGAUUGAAAAUGAUUCCUGUGGUUUCCAUUUUAUGGAUUUAAGUUGUUUUUCAAUCUGAAAUUCAAGAAGGGACCAUGAACUGAUGACUCUAAGAACUUCUGUAUGUGUUUGGGGUGUGGGAUGGUAGGGGGCAGGCUCCUCACUGAAUGAUACGGUCUUGCUUGUUGUGGGGUGCAAGCAGCUAGAGGUACGGGAUUAUUUGGAUGGUCUGGAAGCCUCAUCUAAAGGUGGUCUUGGCCCUUUGCUGUUGGAUUAUUGUCCUGGAGCUCUAGAGUAUCUCCUAGAGGUUUAUUAAGGCGCAGUAGCUUUCUUUACAGUCAUGUAAGGAAAGGGUGGUGGCACUACCCAGGGGGGUCUCAUGCUUGUUAAUGGUGCAUGUCUUCUCUCCCUCUGGACCUUGGUUGGCAGAUGACUCAGUUUGAGAAGACUCUGGUCACCCCCCCAAUCCAGGCUUUGGCGUGACUAUUAAUAAGACAGUGCAUGGUGAGAGGGAAGUGGAUGGGGUCCCGGGACUUAGAGCCUUUGGGGAGGAAUAGCAUUUAAAUGAUUUACUGCUAGGCCCUAGGUUCAUGCACGCAAGUCCUAAGGUGGUCUGGUCUCAAGACAUUUUCGAGGAGAAGAUUGUUACUGAGAAAUGAGCAGUUGCUGCAGACCGCUGUCCUUUGGCCUGGCUCCCCACAGUUCCCUUCUACUCUAACUGCUGGAAACUUGUUUCUUGUGCACAAGGUCUAGCAUCAAAACUGGGAAUUUUCUUUGUGGCUCAGCAGGUUAUGUACCCAACUAAUAUCCAUGAGGAUGAGGGUUCAAUCCCUGCCUCCCUCAGUGGCAUAAGUAUCCAGUGUUGAAAUGAUCCUCAGUGUAAAUCACAGAUGAGGCUUGGAUCUGGCAUGGCUGGUUUCAGGUAAGCCAGAUCACCUUAACUGUGUCCUCAGUUUGGCUAAAUUUCAAACAGGUUUCUUGUGGACUAUAGGUCGCUGGCUUCUUUUUUCUUACAGCCUAUACUUCAGAAAACUUGCAACUGUCAAUUCUCUCUCUACCCUCUUUGAGAUGUCAAGGUGUUCCAGCCUCUUGACAGUUUCACAGCCCAGGACUACCCUUGCCAAGGACCUGAAGAACCAUCCCUUUUAAAGGUUUGCUUGAAGGAAGAGGGUUCCUACCUCCCAGUCUUUUUGGGAGAGUAUGAGCCUAAUUUAUGAGCCUAAUUUAAGGCAAGUGCCAGUUAGCAAACACUGAUGGCCUCAUCACACUAAUUAAACUCCCUCUUCCCAAGUCCAUUCUCCAUUCUUUGCCUUGAGCUCACCUAAGUGAGCUAAAAAACGCUGACCUUUGGUUUCAGUGUAGUAGAGUUCAAUCUCUCUCCUUUAUUACAAUACUCUUAUCAAGUUAAGGGCUAAGGACUAUUUAACUUAGUCUAGUGCAAUUUUUCUUUGACACUGAAUUUCCUCAAUUGUUGCCUUUUUCAGGCAUGAAGAGUGAGUUCUCAAUAACGUCAGAUUCCACAUCCUAGGUGAUGCCACUUAAAUUCUAAGGAAAGCAUAUUCCCAGUAGACUAUUCACCUAUGAGCACGAGCUUUUUUACACAAUAUUUCCUUCAAUGUAGUUAUAGACUAGUUUGCAUAGGAUUCUGCAUUCAGGGUGUCAGAGAACUCUGAUAUCAUUCUCCCACAAAUCAAAUAAAUAAAAUAUUCUAUAGCAAUACAGCAUAUAGUACACAAAGUCUUAUUUUAUCCCCUGGGAAUUCCAUGACACCGGUAAUACUCAUUCUCUAAUUUUUUGCAAGCAGCAACUGAGGGUGUUCAGAGGUUAAGAAGCUCUUGUGUUGGAGAUAGGACUUAAUCUUUAAAUGAAUUAAAGAGUAGAACUAGAAUGUAUCUCACUUGUAAGAUUAGUAUGCAUUUUGUGGACUUAUUUCUCCAUUCCUAUCUGGGUCUGGUCAUAUCAUGGAUAUGGUCAAAUGAUGUUUGUUUAGGUAACUUUUCCAGAGGUCUCUAACUCCACAAUUUUUUAAGUUUUUCCUUUCACUCUGUAAUGAGCUCUUAAAAGGUGGAGCUGAACAAAUGUGCUCCAGAGAACUUUCACCCCAUCAUUCACUUACUUCAUCCCCAGAGUCCCCACCCCAGCUUCACUGCUGAUCUCGUUUUAUCAUCUUUCCUUUAGGCCAGUCCAUAAAAUUCUGGUUAACUAGACUAGGGGGGAAAAAAAUGCUAUCUUACAAUACUCAAGUUUCUCUAAUAAAAACAAGCAAAUUUUUCAAAUCCAGCUUGCCCAAAAUUGUAGAUCAAGCCCUGUUGUGUAUGAUUCACAGAUAACAGCUGAAACCACUUCAUCUACAAGUUAAUGGACAAAAUUAGCAUGUUAAAGAGUUGGAGGGCUUAAUUAGAAAGGCAAUCCUUCUGCAAAAAGCUUCCCAGGAACACUAAAGUGGUUUGUUGAUUUUUUUGUUGUUGUUGUUUUGUGUGUGUUUAAAAAAAAAAAAAAAAAAAUUGGCGGGUAGAGCCUGGAAAUAGAAAUUGAGUAGAACAUGGAAAUAGAAAUUGAGUCUGACUUUGCAAACCUAUCCUCAGGCUUGUUUUAAAGGAAGUUUGUUGGUAGUAAACAUACAAUCUUUUGCCUUCCAUGGCUGUUUGUGCUCAUCAUCCCAAUGUUCCUGUGAGAAAUGGUCUAUUUAUUUCUCCGUACUCUCCGCAUUUUUCUCACACUGAGUUGAGGAGGUCUUGGCACGUCAAAAGAACCACCUUGAAGGAAGAGGUGCUUCCAUUUUGCCAGCAGCUGCUGCCCCUUCCACAGCCAUUAUACUCGAUACCCCAGAAGGAGCAAUUCACAUCCUUUUUUGAGUUUUUGUUUCUUCUGGCAUGCAGCUCUGUAUUUUUGAAUAAUAUACCUUGCAAUCCACUAUUUCUGGAUUCCAAUUAUAUGCACUUCUCUCUUGACUUCUUACUAUAAAGACUUAGGCACAGGAGUUCCCGUCGUGGCUCAGUGGUUAACGAAUCCGACUAGGAACCAUGAGGUUGUGGGUUCGAUCCCUGGCCUUGCUCAGUGGGUUAAGGAUCCGGCAUUGCCAUGACCUGUGGUGAAGGUUGCAGAUGCGGCUUGGAUCCCACGUUGCUGUGGCUCUGGCGUAGGCCGGUGGCUGCAGCUCCGAUUGGACCCCUAGCCUGGGAACCUCCAUAUGCCGUGGGAAGCGGCCCUAGAAAUGGCAAAAAGACAAAAAAAAAAAAAAAAAAAAAAAAA